rnacentral:tRNA from 1 species
GCACCAUUGGCUCAGUCAGUAGAGCAUGUGACUCUUGAUCUCAAAGUUGUGAGUUUGAGCCCUACGUUGGGUG